UAUGUUUGUUUUGUCAUUAACUAUAAAUGAGUUACUAUGGUGAUACUGAGUGUUUUCGGUUUUGCGCAUAAGUGUUGACGAUAAAUGUCUAUUUUCGAAAUAAUCUCACUACUUGAGGUUAUUUGAUAUUCAUAAAAUUUAUUCGGCAGAGUAAAAUUACUGGGAGAGGGAAAGACUAAGCAUUAGUAUAAAAGAAUGGACAUUCGACGAUAUUAUUAUUAAGUAGAGCGUUCGCAAUACUAACAGCUUAAAAAUGAAAUUCGUGGGUUUGAUUCUUGUCGUAGCUAAGGCCACAUCUGGAGCCAAGUGCUGUCCGGAAUAGUAGGCAGCAGGAACGUACAGUUUUUUGUCUACAUAGAAUUUUAAUUACUAUGUAUAGAGUUGAAUAAAAUGUAGAUUACA